CCUACGGGACGCAGCAGUGGGGAAUAUUGGGCAAUGGGCGCAAGCCUGACCCAGCAACGCCGCGUGAAGGAAGAAGGCUUUCGGGUUGUAAACUUCUUUUAUGAGGGACGAAACAAAUGACGGUACCUCAUGAAUAAGCCACGGCUAACUACGUGCCAGCAGCCGCGGUAAUACGUAGGUGGCAAGCGUUAUCCGGAUUUAUUGGGUUUAAAGGGUGCGUAGGCGGUCCGGAAAGCCAGCGGUAAAAGCCCGGGGCUCAACCCCGGCGAGCCGUUGAAACUGUCGG
rnacentral:rRNA from 1 species